rnacentral:rRNA from 1 species
GACGAACGCUGGCGGCGUGCUUAACACAUGCAAGUCGAACGAAGAGCGACGGAAGCUUGCUUCUAUCACUCUUAGUGGCGGACGGGUGAGUAACGCGUAAUCAACCUGCCCUUCAGAGGGGGACAACAGUUGGAAACGACUGCUAAUACCGCAUACGAUCUAAUCUCGGCAUCGAGGAUGGAUGAAAGGUGGCCUCUACAUGUAAGCUAUCACUGAAGGAGGGGAUUGCGUCUGAUUAGCUAGUUGGAGGGGUAACGGCCCACCAAGGCGAUGAUCAGUAGCCGGUCUGAGAGGAUGAACGGCCACAUUGGGACUGAGACACGGCCCAGACUCCUACGGGAGGCAGCAGUGGGGAAUCUUCCGCAAUGGACGAAAGUCUGACGGAGCAACGCCGCGUGAGUGAUGACGGCCUUCGGGUUGUAAAGCUCUGUUAAUCGGGACGAAAGGCCUUCUUGCGAAUAGUGAGAAGGAUUGACGGUACCGGAAGAGAAAGCCACGGCUAACUACGUG